rnacentral:rRNA from 1 species
GUGUCAGCCGCCGCGGUAAUACGUAGGAGGCGAGCGUUGUCCGGAUUUACUGGGCGUAAAGAGCGCGCAGGCGGCAUGUCAAGUAAGGUGUGAAAUCUCCCUGCUCAACGGGGAGGGCGCAUUUUAGACUGGCAAGCUAGAGGACGGUAGAGGGGGGUAGAAUUGCUGGUGUAGCGGUGAAAUGCGUAGAGAUCAGCAGGAAUACCCGUGGCGAAGGCGGCCCCCUGGGCCGAACCUGACGCUGAGGCGCGAAGGCUAGGGGAGCGAACGGGAUUAGAUACCCCGGUAGUCC